GCUGAGGAGGUCACAGACACAUGGUUCCUGGAAUGUGCGUGAUCCUUGACUGAGCGCUUCCACAGUGCUCAACUAAAUGGCACGGAUCUCAAGUUCUCCCCUCUGCCAGUGCUUCUUCCUUGAAGACCAUCCCCAGUCCUGGCUUAUCGUUGGAGAUUCCAGCUGAAUGCAUAAGGGCUCACUCACGGAGCACCAGCCACAAUGUGCAUGGGAAGAAAGAGGAACGCAAUCCAAGAAUAAAGGAGAAGGCGCUAACGCACUCUAAAUGUGGGACUGCAGAUCAUGAGCUUGAUUCGGCCUUUAAGACAUUUCCUUUCACAGGCUGAGAUUACAAUAACAAGCGUGUACCCAGUUUCGUGCUAAAACCUUAUUCAUGAACCUGCAGCUCAUCCGUAAUGAUGGAAGGUUAGACUCAUUCCAAAUAGAGGAGUGAGCUACAGCCACCUUUUGAUUAAUGAAGGACAGCUGAUCUGAUUUGGAGCUCCUCUGGGGGUCCUGCAAGACCAUAUUUCUGUCACAUGCACCAUUUUAUCAUCAGCUUUCCUGCUCUGAGGCUGAUCCUGGACCCCUGAAGCACCCAUCCAGAAGCCAUGAUUGGAGAACUAGAACUUUGAUCCAAAUUUCUACAGAGAGCCAGAUGACGUGUCAUGAGGAUACUCAAGCAGUUCUAUGGAGAGGUCUACUUGGUCAGGAACUCCUGUCAACAGUCGUGGAAGCAAGCCAUCCUGGAAGAAGAUCCUCCAGUCCCAGUCAUGCCUUCAGAUGACUGCAGCUCCUGCUGACAUCUUGAGUCAAACCUCAUGAGACAUCCUGAGCCAGUACCAUCUAGCUAAGUCACUCUCCAAUUCAGACCCACAGGUCUAAAUAAAAACCUAAAGUUCCAAGGUUAUUUUUAACUCUCCACAUCACAAACAAGUGUAACUCAGAUGUCAGCAUCAGCAUCUGUCUUUCAGAUGUCUAGAUCUAAUUGACUCUGCUCAGAGCCCAGUCAGUUCCACAGCUGUGAACUCUGAACUCCACUCUGUGGCAUCAACCUGGACACAAAGUACUGACCCUUGCCUUCCAGACCUCUUUUUCCACCUAACCAGAGAUUACCAAGACAUUCUUUCCAAGUAAAUACAGUGUUCUGUAUUUAUCUGGAAAGGAAUUGAGCUGAUGAAAGCCAGCUACCAUACUGUGAGUUGCCCUAUGGAAAGGCACAUGUGGCAGCGGACAGAGGGAGACCUCCAGCUAACAGCCAGUCAGCAACAGAGGCCUUCAGUCCAGCAGCUCACAAAGAACUAAAUCCUGCCAACAACCACGUGGGUGAGCUUGAAAGCAGAUCCUCCCCUUGUCGAGCCUCAAGAUGACUGCAGUUCCUGUCAGCACCUUGGCUGCAGCCUAGACCCCCACAAUGUAAGGAUAAUAAGUGGUUGUUGUUUAUGGUGCUAAAUUUGGGGGUAAUUUAUUAUGCAGCAAUAGAUAACUAAUAUAAUAUGGAAAAAAAUUACUUUUAAAACAUACAUUAUGAAGUGCAUGACAGUUAUGUGUUUCCAGAGCAUACCUAGCACAAAGCGCUAAAUACUUAUUGAACACGACUUAGUAAA